rnacentral:rRNA from 1 species
AACGAACGCUGGCGGCAUGCCUAACACAUGCAGGUCGAACGAGACCUUCGGGUCUAGUGGCGCACGGGUGCGUAACGCGUGGGAACCUGCCUUUAGGUUCGGAAUAACUCAGAGAAAUUUGAGCUAAUACCGGAUGAUGUCUUCGGACCAAAGAUUUAUCGCCUUUAGAUGGGCCCGCGUUGGAUUAGCUAGUUGGUGGGGUAAAGGCCUACCAAGGCGACGAUCCAUAGCUGGUCUGAGAGGAUGAUCAGCCACACUGGGACUGAGACACGGCCCAGACUCCUACGGGAGGCAGCAGUGGGGCAUAUUGGACAAUGGGCGAAAGCCUGAUCCAGCAAUGCCGCGUGAGUGAUGAAGGCCUUAGGGUUGUAAAGCUCUUUUACCCGAGAUGAUAAUGACAGUAUCGGGAGAAUAAGCUCCGGCUAACUCCGUG